UACGGAGGGUGCGAGCGUUGUCCGGAAUCAUUGGGCGUAAAGGGCGCGUAGGCGGCUUUGCGUGUCUUUCGUGAAAUCCCUCGGCUCAACUGAGGACGUGCGGAAGAAACUGCAGGGCUGGAGUCCGGGAGAGGAGGGUGGAAUUCCCAGUGUAGCGGUGAAAUGCGUAGAUAUUGGGAGGAACACCGGUGGCGAAGGCGGCCCUCUGGACCGGUACUGACGCUGAUGCGCGAAAGCGUGGGGAGCAAACGGG
rnacentral:rRNA from 1 species